UCUUCAAACCUUGCUUCCCUCCUCCUUUCUCACUGGAGAGAAACAGGAAGUGUUUAUUAAUAAGCCUGACCAGGGUCACACCCAAGGCAAUAUCAGGGCUUUACCUCUCCUGGGCUUGGGGAGAGGUUCAAAGAUCAGGGACAUGCU
ensembl:misc_RNA